AUGAGGCGGGGGUGUCCCCGCCGUCCCCGUGCCCCCUGUGGUGCCCACCCCCCCGGGCAGGGCAGCGCCCAGGCUCCUUCCUCCUCCUCCUCCUCCUCAUCGGCCUCAUCCUGCGUGCGGCCUCGGCACCGCGUGGUGCUUGCAAUAAAUGAGCGGGGUUUGCUUUGGGAUGUGUGCUUCUGUCGGCGAAGUAAAGCUGUCCCCUGCCUCCGAGUGCUGCUCGCGUCCUUUCCUGCGCCCGGGGUGUCCCCGAGGGGUCCGGCGUGGGGGGAUGCGCCCCCUGUGAAGGUGUCACCAGGGCGAGGACAGGUCCAGCCCCAGCCGAGGGGCGCAGGAGGGCUCCCCAGGGCUCUGUAUGGCCGGUGUCCCCCUGCCCCGUGCCCUCCUGCUCUGCGCAGAGGGAGGAGGAGACGGCAGGGGUGGCCCUCGGCGUCUCCAGCCCUUUGGCACAGCACCCAGCACCCUGCAGGGUCUGAGCCACCCCAGUCCACAAAAAGUCCCCAUCCCUCUCCCUUCCUCAUGCAGACAGGGACAGAGGGACCACAGGUCACAUCCCCGGGGCCAGCAGGGCACCCAUGGGUGCCACCCCCAGCUUGCCCCCUGCUGCCCUGCGCCCUCCGUGCGCCCCACGUCCCCCAGCAGCGACAGGCUUCAACCCAGAGCAGCCAGGGGCACCCUCAGGGUGCACCCCCCUCUGCUGUGCUGGGGACCCGGGGAUCAGAAGGGACAAAAAAGGGGUUGGGGGGACCCGUGUCAGCCCCCCGGGGAGGCUGUACCUGCCCCACGUGUCACCGUCCCCGCUCCGUCCCUGCCCCGUGUCACCCUGGCUGGGAAGGGUGCACGCAGCCGGGCAGGGGCUCUGCGCCCCCCCUGCACACGGCAGGAGCCCCCCGGGGGGUCCCCAUCCUGCUCAGCACCCCAGGGCAGGAGGCAGGGUGCGAGAUGUGGGGCAGACCCACGGCCACAGCUGCUCAGGUUCCCAGGGGACCGUGGUGGGGACCCAGGGUGGCCAAGAGGUCACCGAUGCAAAGCCCCAGCACCCUCGGGACCAAGGCUGCGGAGCACCCGGCCCCGAUCCGUGCUCCGUGGCCCCCUGCCACGGUGACCCCGCUCCUGCCCCGGCGCUGCGGCUCGCGGGGACCCUUUGAUGUCCCCUCUGUGCUU
rnacentral:lncRNA from 1 species